ACUCCUACGGGUGGCUGCAGUAGGGAAUCUUCCACAAUGGGUGCAAACCUGAUGGAGCAAUGCCGCGUGAGUGAAGAAGGUCUUCGGAUCGUAAAGCUCUGUUGUUAGAGAAGAACACGUGCUAGGUAACUACUAGCGCCUUGACGGUAUCUAACCAGAAAGUCACGGCUAACUACGUGCCAGCAGCCGCGGUAAUACGUAGGUGACAAGCGUUGUCCGGAUUUAUUGGGCGUAAAGGGAGCGCAGGCGGUCUGUUUAGUCUAAUGUGAAAGCCCACGGCUUAACCGUGGAACGGCAUUGGAAACUGACAGACUUGAAUGUAGAAGAGGAAAAUGGAAUUCCAAGUGUAGCGGUGGAAUGCGUAGAUAUUUGGAGGAACACCAGUGGCGAAGGCGAUUUUCUGGUCUAACAUUGACGCUGAGGCUCGAAAGCGUGGGGAGCGAACAGGAUUAGAUACCCUGGUAGUCCACGCCGUAAACGAUGAGUGCUAAGUGUUGGGGGCUUUCCGGCCCUCGGUGCUGGAGCUAACGUAUUAAGCACUCCGCCUGGGGAUUACGACCGCAAGGUUGAAACUCAAAAGAAUUGACGGGGACCCGCACAAGCGGUGGAGCAUGUGGUUUAAUUCGAAGCAACGCGAAGAACCUUACCAGCUCUUGACAUCUUCUGACAACUCUAGAGAUAGAGCGUUCCCUUCGGGGACAGAAUGACAGGUGAUGCAUGGAUGUCGUCAGCUCG
rnacentral:rRNA from 1 species